rnacentral:misc_RNA from 1 species
CAUUGUACCUCUAUCUUAGAAAUCUGAAUUAAUAAUUUAGGACUAUAUAUGUAACUUUACAACUUACAACACAUUUUCGACUUGAUUUUCUUAUUUUCUCUCCAAAUUGUACAGAAAAUAACUAGAGGAAAAUAUAGCUUAUUUUCCUUCCACGUUUUAUUUUUCCUGCUCUCUCCAAACACAAAAUAGUAGCUAUAUCCCUUUAUUUUCUUUCCUCCCCCUUUUCCACACAUCCAAGCAUAGUGUUGAUUGCAUAUCAUUAAAUCCAAUCUUCCACCCUUUGGUGUUUCCUAAAUUGUGAUACCACCAAUUAUGUGCUAUGGCAUUACUUUUGUUUGUUGCUUAAUGUUUUUGUGUUGUAUUGUUUGUAAUUGUUUCUGCUUUCCCUUCAGAUUCUUG